rnacentral:rRNA from 1 species
GUCCACGCCAUAACGAUGACAACUAGACGUUGGGACAUAUGGUCCACAGUGUCGCAGCUAACGCGUUAAGUUGUCCGCCUGGGAGUACGGCCGCAAGGUUGAACUCAAAGGAAUUGACGGGACCCGCACAAGCGGUGGAGCAUGUGGUUAAUUCGAUGCAACGCGAAGAACCUUACCUGGUCUUGACAUGUCUGGAAUCCCGAAGAGAUUUGGGAGUGCCGCAAGGAACCAGAACACAGGUGCUGCAUGGCUGUCGU